rnacentral:rRNA from 1 species
UACGUAGGCAGCGAGCGUUGUUCGGAAUUACUGGGCGUAAAGCGCACGUAGGCGGCUUUUUAAGUCGGGGGUGAAAUCCUGGAGCUCAACUCCAGAACUGCCUUCGAUACUGGAGAGCUUGAGUCCGGGAGAGGUGAGUGGAACUGCGAGUGUAGAGGUGAAAUUCGUAGAUAUUCGCAAGAACACCAGUGGCGAAGGCGGCUCACUGGCCCGGUACUGACGCUGAGGUGCGAAAGCGUGGGGAGCAAACAGG